rnacentral:tRNA from 1 species
GCAGUGGUGGCUGAGUGGUAGAAUUCUCACCUUCCAUGCAGGAGAUCCGGGUUCGAUUCCUGGCUGCUGCA